rnacentral:rRNA from 1 species
UCCAGACUCCUACGGGAGGCAGCAGUGGGGGAUAUUGCACAAUGGGGGGAACCCUGAUGCAGCGACGCCGCGUGGGUGAAGGAGCGUUUCGGCGCGUAAAGCCCUAUCGGCAGGGAAGAAGGAGGACGGUACCUGACUAAGAAGCCCCGGCUAACUACGUGCCAGCAGCCGCGGUAAUACGUAGGGGGCAAGCGUUAUCCGGAUUUACUGGGUGUAAAGGGGGCGCAGACGGCAGCGCAAGCCAGGAGUGAAAGCCCGGGGCCCAACCCCGGGACUGCUCUUGGAACUGCGCGGCUGGAGUGCAGGAGGGGCAGGCGGAAUUCCUGGUGUAGCGGUGAAAUGCGUAGAUAUCAGGAGGAACACCGGUGGCGAAGGCGGCCUGCUGGACUGCAACUGACGUUGAGGCCCGAAAGCGUGGGGAGCAAACAGGAUUAGAUACCCUCGUACCC